rnacentral:rRNA from 1 species
UGGGGAAUUUUGGACAAUGGGCGAAAGCCUGAUCCAGCAAUGCCGCGUGUGUGAAGAAGGCCUUCGGGUUGUAAAGCACUUUUGUCCGGAAAGAAAUCCUUGGCUCUAAUACAGUCGGGGGAUGACGGUACCGGAAGAAUAAGCACCGGCUAACUACGUGCCAGCAGCCGCGGUAAUACGUAGGGUGCAAGCGUUAAUCGGAAUUACUGGGCGUAAAGCGUGCGCAGGCGGUUUGCUAAGACCGAUGUGAAAUCCCCGGGCUCAACCUGGGAACUGCAUUGGUGACUGGCAGGCUAGAGUAUGGCAGAGGGGGGUAGAAUUCCACGUGUAGCAGUGAAAUGCGUAGAGAUGUGGAGGAAUACCGAUGGCGAAGGCAGCCCCCUGGGCCAAUACUGACGCUCAUGCACGAAAGCGUGGGGGAGCAAACAGGAUUAGAUACCCCUGGUAGUCCACGCCCUAAACGAUGUCAACUAGUUGUUGGGGAUUCAUUUCCUUAGUAACGUAGCUAACGCGUGAAGUUGACCG